UCCCAUGUGGCUCAGUUGAUAGAGCAUGGUGUUUGCAACGCCAGGGUUGUGGGUUCGAUUCCCACAUGGGAC
rnacentral:tRNA from 1 species